GGGUCAGUAGGUUGGUCGUGCCACCGGUACGUACUGGUCUCACUGAUUCCUCCUUCCUGAAGAACCGUAAUGCCAUUAAUUUGGUGUUGCGGGGAAACAGGACUGUUACUUUGAAAAAGUUAGAGUGUUUAAAGCAAGCUAACGCUUGAAUACGUUAGCAUGGAAUAAUGAAAUAGGACGAUCGAUCCUAUUUUGUUGGUUUCUAGGAUUGACGUA
rnacentral:rRNA from 1 species